rnacentral:piRNA from 1 species
UGUUGUACUCCAAAAGCAAUA